rfam:Triticum urartu cultivar G1812 contig1059639, whole genome shotgun sequence.
AUACUACUCCUUCCGUCCGGAAAUACUUGUCCUCCAAAUAGUUGUAUCUAGACUUAUUUUAGUUAUAGAUACAUCUAUUUACAACCAUUUUGAGGACAAAUAUUUUCGGACGGAAGGAGUAUUUG